rnacentral:lncRNA from 1 species
CCGCAGCAUCUGGCGGAAAACAACCCUGCGAAAUCCCUGUGUUUACAGAAUCCCAGCUGCCAGUCCCUCCGAGGGGCGCUGAGAAGGGCGGGGGUGGCAACCCUGGAGUCGUCCGGGGCGUCCCGAUGGAUCGGAUGCUACCCCACAGCAACCCGCCGGGGUCUCCUUUACCCCGCGAGGAGGCCCUGUGGCCCUAGAGGGGCGAAGGUACGCCUGCGGGGCGGGGCGGGAAGCCUGUCAGGGCCUUUCCCAUCCGGAGCUUUCCUUAGGCAGCGGAGACAGGUGAAGUCCAGCGAACACGUCCUGAUGUCGACGACGGCAGCUACAUUUCCUGAGCAGCUAGAACGCACAACUAUCAGCAUGGUCCAAGAUGACGCUUCCCUGUCACAGCUGCCCAGAGUGAGGUGGCACAGGGCCGGGCCCAGCUAAGGCAAUGGUAGCACGACUAAGAGCCAAUCCUGGGUCGUUCUAAGUUCCUGGUGCUCAGGGAUUGACUUGCUACCGCUGGAUAAUUGAGUCUCCACGGCUUGCUCCCAACAUCCAUGCCCAGAAGUGAGAAGCUGCUAUAACUAAACAUUCAGCACUGGUGACCCUGGCUCUGAGAGAGGGUGGACAGUGAGGACUCUACUGGAUGCUGUGGGAGGCGCUCCCGGCCACAAAUGGCAAAGUAUUUGAAAGACUGCUCAUUUAAAAGAUAAAUUCUUGCAUAUCUAGGAAGAGGAUUGCAAGCAGAUUGAUAAUAUUAUAAUGGGUCCUAUUGGCUGCAGCUGAAAAUGUAGAAGAUAUUGGUGCACUCAGAAGAAAAAAAUUGUUAUUUUACAAAAGGAGAUGGAAUGGACAAGAGAGUCCUGAAAUACAGAGAAUUUAUAAACUACUUCUCAUCUCCUGAAAUAAGAAAUUAAGUCUUAGAAGACGCCUGUGUUAACGGCUGAUGAGAAUUCAAAGCUGGCUUCCCGGAACACAUCCUCUGAGUGGAAUAAGGUGGAUUAGAGCAAAACUGAAAGUUUUGAAUUCUAAAACAGCAAUUUGCAUUGGACAGAGUGACUCUGGAUAACCUCGCAGAGACACGUAUGGGCUCGUGUUGUCUACGCUGAGGUUCAUCCCCAGAGGAACCCUGGGUGUCGUUAUUGUCUAUCAGCGUAAGAGCCACCAACAGGAAAUUCAGUGACCAGUGCAAGGCGUGUCAAUAGUGUGUUUUAGUCAGCUUUCCACUGUAAUGAAAAAAUGUCUAAGAAAUUCACCUUAGGCACAUGAGAAAAAAGUAUUACAGCUCACACCUUCAGAGAAUUGAGUUUGUGGCUGCCUGGCCCCAUGACUCUGGACCCAGGAAGCAGAGUGCAUCAUGGGAGGAGGACAUGGUAGGGCACAGCUGCUCAGCUCAUGGUGUCAGGGAAACAGAGGAGGGCCACGAUCCCAAUAACUGCUUCAAGGACACACCUCAGUGACCUCACUUCUUCCUAUGAGGGCCCUCCUUUUACAGGCCCCGCCCCUCCCAGCAGCACCAAGGGCUGGUGCGGACCACACCUUCAACAUCUGGGCCUUUGGGGAACAUUUAGGAGCCAAACCUGUGUCUCUGAGUACGGAGGGUGAGUGUCCAUGACUGAUGGGAAGACUGGGGCUUUCACUCCCUAGUGUGAAGACUGCUGCACACCACAGGAAGUUCUAGAACGUCACCUCGAUACCAGGACUAGGUCACCCUUUUGAGAAUAAGUAUACUGUGCCUGUGAGGGCCAAACAUUUCUCAUCCAAAGGUCAGCCCGUGGUAGUUAUUGCUGCUCUUUGCCAAACAUUUCCAGCUCCCCCUCCUGGACACAAGGAAGAACUGUCCUCUUCCUGGUCUCCAUGUGGCUGGGCAGGACUCACAAGGCCGUUUCAGCUGAAAAGCAGUGCCGUGUGUCUGUCUUCUCUGUAGCUCUUCAUUGCCAGAGCUCCUCUUCCUUGCCAUAGUGACCCAUAGCACUGAAAGGGAGGAAGCUCAGACUGGAAGAUACAGAGCAGAGCCCCAAGAAGACUAGGGGUGGAUACAUACUUUGAGCAAUUAAACAGUCCAUUUCAUAACCCACUGAUACUCAUGGGUUGUUUGUUGCUGCAGCAGAGACUAAUCUCUCCUGACUAAUAUGCCUCCUUGCAUUCAUGCUUGUAAGAUACAUGAAAAGAAAUGAUUCAUGUUCUGUUUUCUUGGUUUUUUCAAGGGCAGCAGAGUCAUCCUUUAUAUGUUCUGUUUUCUAUAGAUGAAAACAAUUGAACAAAGAUUAGGAAACUCAUUUCAAAGCUUAACAGUGGCCAAAAUUUUUGUUCUUGGCAUUGCUUCCUUUUCUAUAGAGAUCUUCUUGACGUGUGUGUGCUUAAUUAAAUUGAACUCAUGUGACAUGUUUGCUCUUCUUUGCUCAUCUCUGUGCUGAAGUAGGACCAAGCAACCUGUUGUCUGCCUCUGAUACCUAUCUGACAUAUCCAUCCAGUGGCUCAUGGGCCUGGCUAAGUCUUUAUGGUAAAAUGUUGCAAGUUUCGUUUGUUUAUCAGCCUUUCAAUAAAUAUUUACCUAAAGACAGUAAUAGCUAAUUAUAAGCAUCUAAUGAGUGCUGACUGUGUUCUAAGCACUUUGCUAAGAGCUGUUGUUAUGGAUUGUGUCCAGAUGUCCCCCCAAAGCCCCACACAGUCAUAAGUGGGGCUUUUUUUUCAGAGGUGGCUGGAUCUACAGUGUGUGACACUGGGAUUGACUCAUGGUGCGAUGCUAGGAUCAAAGGCACUAGGAUUAAGAGUGUGAGUGGUACCUGUUUUAAGUGGUCUGGAUAAAAUAAAGGGCAGAGAGACCUAUAGUUGUCCCUUGGUGGUUUGCUACCUUCUGCCCAUCAUAAACCGAUUCUCCUCUGUGCUGCUCCUCCAUGCCACCUUGCCUUGGAGCCAGCCAAUUAUGGACUGAAACCUCUACAAACUGUGAGCUAAACAAUCCUUUCCUCUUUUAACUUUGGGUGUCGGGGAUUUUGUGUCAGCAAUGAGAGAAAAGUAACUGAGACAGCUGUAAAAUAGGAUCCUUUCCUGUCCUUCUCUCAUUUUAUUUUUUGUUUUUGCUUUUUUUGCAGUGCUACAGAUUGAACCUCGCCACAUACACUACUAGGCAAGCAGUGAACCACCAAGCUACGUCCCCAGCCUCCUUUUAAACAUAAGAGAAGCCCGGAGAAGUUACACCAUUUCCCAGGGCACAGAGCAGGAAUCUGAGCAGGCAUCACAUGCAGCCAGGGCAGUGCCUGUGUUGGGGCCACACUGGUCUCUCCCCCCAGACUGGGUUCUCUACAGAGCUGAUCAUACAUCAUAGUAAUAGAAAUUCACACACACACACACACACACACAGACACACACACAACACACACACCAGUUAAAUGAGUCUGGGACUCUCACAAUAGACAUAAAAUACUAAAGGCUCGGAUGCAUCCCUUAACAUUACUUAGCUCGAGUGGCUUUAACCACAGAACCUAUUUGACACUAGCCCUUUUGAACAGUGUCCUAAAGAGCAUCAUUUAGGAAGGUGAGAUCAUAGAUAUCCACACCAGGAGGAAUGGUGAUGUCAUCUCACUCAUCUGCAUGGUGUUGCUGAUGCCAGAAUAGGAAUUUUAAAUGAAUAAGUAAUUUUCCUGUGGUCUUAUGGAAGCAGUGCCUGGAAUACAGAUCUCCUAAUUCCCUGUUCAGAUGUUACUCCAUGGGUUAUAAAAAACAAAAUGGUCCAGGACAAAUUCUUCAGAUCAAUUCUCUGACCUUCUGCCAGGUCAGAGAAAAGCACACAUUUCCCACAGAUUCUAGUACUCGAUAAAUGUUAAUUUAUGAGUAACAAUGAGGGAUAGAAGAAGAAUUAAUUAGCCAAGAAGCUUGGAUGAAGACAUGGAGAAGCACUGGUUAGCCAGAAGGCAAAAUAAGGAAUGCUGCAAAAUCCAAAAAGACCCCUACAACCACACUGUCUUUCUCAAUGAAUUGAUGGGGUGAAAAAUUCUGUACAGCUGCAUAUGUGAACAUGUGUGUGUGUAUGUACGGAGGGGGGGGUGGUAGAGGAGAACUGAACAAGACACAGAGUGUCUAACUGCAGAUAUUGCCCCACUGAGCAGGCACAAGAGGGAGGGAUACCAAAGUCUAGUUCAGUAGUGGAACCACAAAGAAAUCCCAUGACUUUUAUGGCAAAGAUGAAGAAACUGUUUUCCGGCCCUUUCACCCAUCAGAAUAAAGUAUGGUCCUUUGCAGACCCUGAAUAGAUUGAUCAUGAAACUCUGACACAGUUAAAGCAGUUGUAGCUUCCAAGUUUCUCUCUGUGGUUGGCUUUGCUAGGUAGGGUAGUGUUAUGGUUUAGACUGUCUGUCGUGUCGAGGACUUGGUCCCAGAUGCAGCAGUAUUCAGAGAUGGAGCCUAGAAGGUGGCUGGACCUGAAGGUGCUGACCAUAUCAGUGGACUCAGGCACUGAGGCCUUUUAGCUGAGU